UACGUAGGGUCCGAGCGUUGUCCGGAAUUAUUGGGCGUAAAGGGCUCGUAGGCGGUCUGUUGCGUCGGGAGUGAAAACUUACAGCUUAACUGUGAGCGUGCUUUCGAUACGGGCAGACUUGAGGCAUUCAGGGGAGAACGGAAUUCCUGGUGUAGCGGUGAAAUGCGCAGAUAUCAGGAGGAACACCGGUGGCGAAGGCGGUUCUCUAGUACGGUACUGACGCUGAGACGCGAAAGCGUGGGGAGCGAACAGG
rnacentral:rRNA from 1 species